GACGAACGCUGGCGGCGUGCUUAACACAUGCAAGUCGAACGGAAAGGCCCUGCUUUUGUGGGGUGCUCGAGUGGCGAACGGGUGAGUAACACGUGAGUAACCUGCCCUUGACUUUGGGAUAACUUCAGGAAACUGGGGCUAAUACCGGAUAGGAGCUCCUGCUGCAUGGUGGGGGUUGGAAAGUUUCGGCGGUUGGGGAUGGACUCGCGGCUUAUCAGCUUGUUGGUGGGGUAGUGGCUUACCAAGGCUUUGACGGGUAGCCGGCCUGAGAGGGUGACCGGCCACAUUGGGACUAAGGUACGGCCCAGACUCCUACGGGAGGCAGCAGUGGGGAAUAUUGCACAAUGGGCGGAAGCCUGAUGCAGCAACGCCGCGUGCGGGAUGACGGCCUUCGGGUUGUAAACCGCUUUCGCCUGUGACGAAGCGUGAGUGACGGUAAUGGGUAAAGAAGCACCGGCUAACUACGUG
rnacentral:rRNA from 1 species